UCGAGGGAAUACGCAAGAUUUUUACAGAAGGUCAAGUGCGGAAAAUCAUGUCACCUGGAAGAAUCCAGUGGAAAUGGAAAGACAUAUCGAGCGCAAUAUGUCUGCAUGCAGCAGGGCCCAGGGCGUACAAUCACCUUUAUAAAAAGGACUUUCCGCUACCGCACCCCUCAACUCUGCAACGCUGGUGCGCAAAAAUAAAAAUUAGCGAGGGGAUACUUACAUCCUCGCUCGAUUUCAUGCGGCAUACAACUGAUUUGGCACCUGAAGAAAAAAUCUGUGUGCUCGCAUUUGAUGAGAUGAAGGUAGCGGAAACAUAUGAGUUCGACCCUGUCGGUGACAAAGUUAGGAAACCUGCGAAUUACGUGCAGGUCAUGAUGGCUCGAGGGCUUAAAAAGUCUUGGAAGCAACCAGUCUUUUAUGACUUCGACUGCAAAAUGACAGAAGAACUUUUGGCUGAAGUUAUUAAAAAACUUCACAAUGUUGGAUUCCCGGUAGUGGCUAUUGUCUGUGACAUGGGGCCAGUGAAUCGUAAGUUGUGGAAAAAUUUAGGUGUUACCACAGGUAAGUAAAUACAAUGUUCUAACACAAUGUAACACCAAUUUAACACCACACAACGCCACACUCCAUACAAAUUUGAGGACGAUUCAUAUCUCUUACGAAAGGAAUUUAAUAAAAGGUUAAACCAUGGUUUCCCAACCCUGUGUGUGCAGAGGAAAAAGUGUUCGUUUUUGCUGAUGCCCUACAUCUCUUAAAAUUGAUAAGAAAUCAUUUUUUGGACAGUGGUGUAGUUUAUGAAAACACCAUUGUUUCUUCACGAACAAUCGCGGAUUUGCUUAAGCUUACAGCAACGUCAGAUGUUUCCAUCACAUUUAAAAUAAAUGAUGAACAUCUCUCAGUAAAAGGGUCAGGAAGGCAAAAAGUGAAAUUAGCAGCCCAACUUUUUUCUAAUACAACUGCGAAUGCUGUUCGUAGAUGCUACUCGAUUGGAAUGGAAGUCUACAAUCCAACCAAUACGGCAGA